AGCCUGCCCAAUGAGAAGUUAAAUGGCCGCGGUAUAUUAACCGUGCAAAGGUAGCAUAAUCAAUAGUUUUUUAAUUGAAAGCUGGAAUGAAAGGUUGGAUAAGAAAAUGACUGUCUCUAUAAAAAUUAAUUUGAAUUUUAUUUUUAAGUUAAAAAGCUUAAAUAUAUAUAGAAGACGAGAAGACCCUAUAGAGUUUUAUAUUUUUAAUAUUUAAAGAAAUUAUGGCUUUAUGAAUUAUUUAAAUUUUAAAGAAUAUUUUGUUGGGGUGACAAGAAAAUUAAAUAAACUUUUUUUUUAUCAGUCCAUUUAUUUAUGAAUUUAUGAUCCUAAGAUUUAGAUUAUAAGAUUAAAUUACCUUAGGGAUAACAGCGUAAUUUUUUUUAGAGUUCUUAUCGAAAAAAAAGAUUGCGACCUCGAUGUUGGAUUAAAAUUAAUUGUUGGUGAAGAUGCUAUCAUAUUAGGUCUGUUCGACCUUUAAAAUUUUACAUGAUCUGAGUUUAAACCGGUGUAAG
rnacentral:rRNA from 1 species